UUCCCACCUUCAAUUGCUUCGCUUUUCUCUAGUCACAUCGACCUAGAUGUAGAGGAAGACCAACAAAUGGAGUCGUUUGACCAUAUGAUGUCUCACUCCGUCACUGCUUAUGUGUGUUUCUUGCGUGAUAGAUGCGGAAGCGAUAGGUAGGUAAGCAAGGCGGAGGGUCGGGUGGCUCUAGCACUCCGGCGGCAAAGACAGGCCACCCUUUUAGAAGCGUUGAUACAACUGACUGGCGAUCGGUCACCACUACCACUAAUCUCCUUCUUCCACCGUUGCUUACGGUGUUCUCUUUUUCCUCUCCCAAUGAAAUUCAUUCUUUACAGGCAUCCCUUUUGAUCUUCCAACUUUUAUCUCUCCGUCUAUUCCACACUAUCUGGGUUUAUUUCCGGAUCUGACUUCAUUUUUUUUGUUCGUUUCCGACUUCUUGGGGUUUAUCCUUCCGCCUUGUCGUCAAGUGAGGGUUUAUCGAUUAAUUUUACCGUCCGUUUUUCAUUUCGAUUUUCUCCAUAAGGGUAACGUUUCACUUAAGGAUUUAUUUUCCCUUUUUUGAAAUCGCAAUUGGACUUGAAUGGCUGCUGGUCACCAGAUAUAUAAUAAUCUACUUCUUGUCUGAUGGGUCUAUUUCUUUUUCUUUUAUUUGAUUGGUUUUGAUUUCUGUUUGCUUAAGUAGCUUUCAGACCAUCAGCAAGAACAACUGUAGUCUCUACCUGUGGAGCUUUGGGAAUCAUGAAGAGAUAACGUCGAAGUUAUCAACGUCUCUCAAUUCCUGUGGAUAAAAACCCUCAAGGCAGCUUCAGUCGAGGACAUGAUUCAUAUAAGAGCAUCGUCUUCCUUUUUAUGACUUUCAAAUUUCAGUUCUUAUCCUUAUGGCACCAUAUUUGUGCUUAUGUUGGCUUUUUUUUUGGGCUGUUUGAAUCUCAGAUUGUUAAUGACUUCAUUUGAAGAUCAUUGAGCUUAGGAUUCCAGUUUGUUAAUAGGGUGAUAAAGGUAUUGGAAGAAUCUGGAAUCGUAUGCUAAGUUUGAUUAGACGUUGAAACAUUUUCCCACCAACUGUUUGUUAAAUUUUUUACUGAAUUCUCAUAUUUUUAUGUGGUUUGUAACUGAUACUGAUCAUUUAUUGGUUUAUGAGAUUUAUUCAAAUAAAGAAAUCAAAGAAUAAAAUAUUGGUUUUUGUUUUUGAAUCCCAGGUACACCUUUGGCAAAUGUUAUUUUUUGGAGCGAGCUUUUGACUGAUACUAUUAAGGUUAGUAAUAUAAUAUUGCACAUAAAAAUUGAUUAAUUGUUUGCGUAUUAGAUUUGUGAUUUUCUUUGUGGUUAUUCACUUGUUUGUAUAAAUAAGAUUUAAGGGCCUUACGAGGCUAAGUGUAUUCUUUCAUGGAAAUUGAAAUGAUGAUAAGUAAGAUGUGCUAUGUGCGAGAAAUGGUCUGGUAUAAUUAAAGUGAUGAUCCUCCGAUGAACACGUAACAAUUUAGUUUUUUUUAUUGAGAAAAUCAACAUACGGUGUUGUCGAAUACUUUCCACAGGUAUAGUUUCAGUAUAUAUACUUAUUGCAUUAUAAUUUUGGAAUUUAAAUGUUUUAAACUUUUUAAUUCUUUUUUCAAACGUAUAAUCAGAGGCUAAGUGUAUUCUUUCAUCACAAUUCUAACAUUUUUGUUUAUUAUUCUUAAAACAUUGUUUUUGAGCUUGAUAUGUUUAAGUAGUUUGAGUUUUCUUGACCGUUGGAGCUAUCUUAAAUAUAGUUUUUUUUUUUUUUUCUACUUUUACUUUUGAAGUACUAGCUUCAUUCUUUUAUCAAGAUGGUCAUAACACGAGGAUCUUUUUAAUUAUAAGGAUUCAUUAUUAUUAUCAAGAUGGUCAAACCACCUGGUGGUCGUGUUGUAGAAGAAUGAAGACAAAAUAGUCGUGAAAAAGGCCAUCGUCAUGUCAUUACGACUAACCUGUCAUGUCGUAAUGAACGCACUAAACAACUUAAUGCCUUGUGCUCUUAAUCCUUCAAGCCAAGCAAACAAGGUUUCAAUAAGGCUUUCUCCAUCUCAAAAUACUAUAAAAUUCAUAGUUGUUUUGAUAUACAUAUCCAAGGCAUGUUCUAAACACCAGCUAGGUCAAAAUGAAUGGAAAAUGAGAUCAACUCUCAUGUAUAGAACUCAAAGCUCACUAGUAUUAUAGAUCUAGGACAAAGGGAUAAAAGGGAGUGUCAAGAACUCAUAAAUUUGUGAACUUUAUAAGUUUCCAACACUCAAACACCCUCAAAAAGUGAGAAAAAUGAACCAAACCCUAAAUCUAAAAUGCUUGAGAAAAAAAGAUAGGAACUUGAGGACUUACAAGAGCCCUAAUGUAACUCAAGAUGAUGAGGGAGUGGCUCUCUAGCGGAGAUGAUGUACCAAUAUUCCUUAUCUUUUUCUUCAAGGCUUCAAAUUACCCAAAAAAAGGGCUUAGAGAUCAAAUACGGAGGAUUAGGAUUUCUUCAAGGAGAAGGGAAGUGAAAGAGGUUGAGGUUGUGUAAACCCUAGCCGCUCACUUCCCUUAAAUAUGGGACAACUUCGAAAUUAGGGUUUUUCACGCAAAGGUUGUCACGUCGUGACCAGCAUGUGUGUCACGUCGUGAGAGCCAAUAAGAUGCGUGUUCCUCAUCGAGCACCGUCAGUCGUGACACAAAUGUACUCACGUCAUAACUAAGGAUUCAAUCCUUAAAAGCUAAAUAAUUAUUCAAAGGUGAUGCUUACCUUGAACUGGGUGUUACAAUUCUCGCCCACUUGAACUAGAUUUCGUCGUCGAAAUCCUCAGCUACAAAUAGAUAUGGUUAGUGCUCGUGCAUCUCUGACUUGGGCUCCUAAGUCCACUAGGAACCCUUCUGAUUCUGCCAUUAAACGUUGACUAAGGGCACCACCUUUUUAUGCAAGGCCUUCUUCUUCUUAUCCAGAAUAGCCAUCGGCUUCUCCACAUAAUUCAAGUGCUUAUACACCUGAAUGUCAUAUAUUGGGACCACCGCUAUAUCAUCAACCAAGGACUUCCGAAGCUGAAAUACAUGGAUGGUAAUAUGAAUCUGACUAAGCUCCUCAUGCAAAUCCAACCGAUAGGCCACUUUGCCUAUCCUUGCCACUACUCCUAAAGGUAUGAUAAAUCGGGGGCCAAACUUGACCUUCUUCCUGAAGCGUAUAACACCCUUCCAUGAUGAUAUCUUUAGUAGAACCACGUCCCUAACCUGAAGAUCCAACUCAGGCCUUUGCCUAUCAGUGUAACUAUUAUGCCGGCUCUUGCUAUCUAUAACCUCUGCCUGAUUUGAUGAAUAAGUUUUUUCGUUUGGAGAACCACCUGAAUCCUCCUUAUUACCCUAUGACAGACCUCUCCCUGAUAAAUUGGAGUACGACACUUCCUCCCAUAUAAAAGCAUGUACGGAGGUGCACCAAUGUUGGAAUGAUAGAUGUUGUUGUAAGAAAAUUCAGCUAGGGGAGGUAUGAGUCCCACCUCCUACCGAAAUCAAUGACACAAGCCUUGAACAUAUCCUCGAGUGUAUGAAUAGUCAACUCACUCUGGUCAUUAGUCUGACGGUGAUAACUGGUGCAGAAGUGUAGUCUCGUACCUUACUACUCGUGAAAACUUUUUCCCUUGGCACACAACACACGACUGGAUUUCCUCGGGUUUGUUUGCCUAUAGCACAAAGUCGUACCUCCUCAAACCAACCGCAUUAUGUCGACAUAUACAAGCAGAUAAACAAUAGCCAUCAAUACAGAUAAUCAUACAAAUUUACCAAUCUAACAUAUUACUUUAUUAUACCAAUUUCCAAUACAAAAUGACACAUACAUCAAUAUAAAGUAUAAUGAGAAAACUCACCUUCCAGCCUAGAUGAUAUGAACACUGAUCACAGAUCCUAUAACCAACACUACAUGUCACUUAUACAUCAAAUAAGGACCACAUCUCAAAACUACAACCCAAAACCCAAAACUUGACUUGAAGUCAAACCUAGUCUAAAAGUCAAUGGUCAAUGUCAAAGUCAACACUCAAGAGUUAUUCAGCUAGUUGCCACAUCGUGACCCCCUGUUGGUCACAUCAUGGCAGAAUGAAGACAAAGUGGUCAUCAAAACAUGGCAUCGUCACGUUACUCCGACCAACUCGUCACGUCAUGAAUAACAAACUGAACAACUUAAUGUCUUACGCUCCUAAUCCUACAAGCCAAGCAACCAAACUUUCCAAAAGGCUUUCUCUAUCUCAAACUACCAGACAUGCAUGUCCAAUGAAUGUCCUAAACACCAACUACGUCAAAAUGAAAGGAAAAUGAAAUCAAAUCCCACGUAUGGAACCCAAAGCUCACUAAUAUUCCAUAUAUGGGAAAAUGGAUACAAGGGAGUCACAAGAACUAAUAAAAUUGUCAACUUCAUGAGUUUUCAACACUCAAACUCCCUCAAAAGGUGAGGAAAGUGAACCAAACCCUACAUCUAACAUGCUUGAUCUAAAAAGACAGGAACUUGAGGACAUACAUGAGUCCUAAUACAACUCAAGAUGAUGAGGGAGUGGCUUCCUAGCUGAGAUGAUGCACAAAAAUGCCUUCUCUUCUUCUUCUUCUUCUUCUAGUAUUCAAAUCAUCAAAAAAGGGCUCAAAGAUCAAAUAUGGAAGAAUAGGGUUUCUUGUGGGAGAAUGGAUGUGAUGGAGGUUGAUGGUGUGCAAACACUAGCCCCUAACUUUCCUUAAAUGGGGGACCAACCUCAAAAUUAUGGUUUUCCAUGCAAAGGCUAUCACGUCGUGACCAACAUAUGUGUCACGUCGUGAUAACCAAUGAGAUUGGCGUUCCUCACGGGGCAACGUCCUGUCAUGACAAAAAUGUGCUCAUGUCAUGACUAAGGCUUCCAUCCUUAAAACACAAAUAAUUAUUUAGAAGUGAUGCUUAAACGGGUGUUACAUGAUAAGUUAUUGGUGUGAAUUAUAUAUCGACAUAAAAUUUUAUAUAGGAUAAUGAUUAUAUUAUAACACAAAUUAGGGGAUAUGCUUGUCUGAACAUGGACGUGAGGAUAAUGAGCUUGAAAAUGACAAACACCUAAUCAUAGAUACUAUUCUAAACAACAUAAAAUCAUAUAUAUAUAUAUANAUAUAUAUAUAUAUAUAUGACAUCCCCAAAUUAACGAUCAUUUUAAAAUUUUAAUUUAUGCUUAUUUUAAAAUCAGAGUAUCAUUUUUAAAGAACAAUGUUGCAAAAUUUGUUCCCAAAAAAAACAUGAUAAAUAUGUUAUCAAAUCAUUUCCAAAGAAAUGUAUUUUAUUUAUUCUAAAACUUUGGGAUGUCAUCGUCACUACAAAAGCAUAAACAUAAACAGAACUUACAUUCAUUUACACUAGUGAUCUACAUCUCUUUAAUCUCCCGGUGUAGUGUAGCUUUAUAUCGACACCUGUGAUAGAAAUAAAUUGAGAGGGUCAGGUUGGGAAACCUGGUGAGUACAUAGAGUUUUCAACCCACAAUAAUAAAGUUAUUAUGUUUAAUCAUCAAAAAAUAAACCCAAUUACACAUUGUCAAUAUCUUCUUUAUUUUUAAGUAUCUUCCCUAAGAAUCAUCUAUUCCUCAUUAUAUAUUCCUAAGGAUUGUCCUAAAGAAUGGGCACGAAGUCCAUUGUUGUCAGGGUUUGUAUAACAAGCACUAAGUCUAUAGUUGCAAAGGCUCAUCUAACCGACACUAAGUCCAUAGCUGUCAGGGUUUAUCUCAUUUAUUGAUUGUAUUAUUUUAGGGAGUCCACCCACAAUACAGGUCAAUGGGUUUUUAGAGUACCCAGGGUGAGGACAUCGUUCACAAAACCCACAAGUUGUGAGCCUGCUAGUGUUCCACUAGACUCUCUAGAAUAGUCUGUGGUUGUUAUAUGUAGUCUGCUAGAUGACAAGACCAUCGCUUUGGUCAUUGCUUGGGUCAUCGCUUGGGUCAUCGGUUCUCACUAUUAUUUACCACUCAUAUAUCAUCGCUCAUCAUUCAUCUCAAUCUACCCAUCUUUGACCUGUCAUAAUUAUAGGUAUAAAAUACAUAUACAGUUUAAAACAAUUAAAACAUGUAUAUUUUUGUUCAUCCAACAUAAAUAUUAAGUACACAUAUAAUAUGCACACAUAGCAUGAAAUUUAUAUUAAAUACUUCAUAUCUAUGUGUAAGAUAAAAGUAACUAUAUGCUCACUUGUUAAAGUGAUGACUCCAAACUUGGACAGCGCUCCGCUUCUUAAUAUAAUUUCCUUCGAUGAAACUAAAUAUUAUUACCACUAGAUUUUAGUCUAAUGUUUCUCAUGACUAAUUACUAGUUUUAGUAUUAUUAUUUAUAUAAGUGUUUGGCAAUGCUUUUCAACCACUAUGUACAGACAAGGCUAGACAUAAAACACCAGAGGGCAGGACCAUCUUGGCAUAUAGCACUUAUGAAAUCCAACAAGCCUAUACGGCCCUUUAAACCAGAUUCCCUAUACGGCGAGUAGUUAAAAACUAUAUAUUAACACUUUUUAUUUAUAUANNNNNNNNNNNNNNNNNNNNNNNNNNNNNNNNNNNNNNNNNNNNNNNNNNNNCAUUGAUGAAUCUUUCUAAAAAGAUUCUUGAAGCGCUUCUAUGCUCAUCUUCCCAUACUAAAACUACAAAAAGAGAAGUCAAAUCACGAGGGACCGAAAUGCUCGGGAGAUAAGAAGAGAAAGACUCUUGAAUCAAGAGAAUGGUGCAAGAAGUAGGAGAGCCUAGAGGCUCUUAUUUAUAGUAAUUAAAUUUUCAAAAAUUAUCCUGUAUAGUUACUUAAUGACCUUAUAGUUAUAUAAACGACCAAACACCCCUUUAUAAUACAAUUUUUAAUAGAUUUAAUGAUAUUUAUACUAAACUAAUGUCGAAAGUCCUCAACACUAGUCUUAUAACGACCGCAUCGUCGAUACCUUUAUAUGCAUAUAUANNNNNNNNNNNNNNNNNNNNNNNNNNNNNNNNNNNNNNNNNNNNNNNNNNNNNNNNNNNNNNNNNNNNNNNNNNNNNNNNNNNNNNNNNNNNNNNNNNNNNNNNNNNNNNAUAUAUAUAUAUAUAUAUAUAUAUAUACACAUGUAUAUAUGAUUUAUACUUUAUUUUAAUAUGUAAAUAUGCUAUUAUAAUUUAUAACUCAUUCAUAGUAACUCUGUUUUUGACGUUCUUUAUAUUUUUAUUUUUCAUCAAUAUUUUUAUAAAAUUAAAUGACUUUGCUAAAAUCAUAACUCUCUCAAACGGACUCAAUUUGUGGCAUUCUUUUUCUCAACAUUCCUAUUUUAAGGAAUACUAUGAUUUACGUUUUGGUGUCAUUAGCUAAAAGUCAACCAUUCUCUUUGUAGCUUUUUAUGUCACAUAUUCCUUGUGUGCGGGUGACUUUUAUAUCUUAUAAAAAUAAUAUCUAAUUCAUAAGGAUUCACAUUUCGAAGAAAUUUAUAUUUUAGGGAUCGGAAAAGACGUGAUAUUCGCCGCAUCACGUGGGACGACAUAAUUAUAAUUAAUAUAUAAAUUGUAGGUGUUGUAUAUUCAAAUUAUAGUCUUUCAUAAAAUUACUUCAUAUAUAGAUGAAAUAUUUAACUUGGUCUUUUAUCAAUAUGACUAGCUAGUUUGUUUGUAAAACUAAAAUAUAUUGAAUGAUAAAUAUUUUGAUUUUGCCAAUUGAAUAUCAUUUUAAUUAUUUUAACAUAAAUAAUUCAAAAAAAUCUUACCUUUUUGAACCCCGCUCGAUAAAAAUAAAUGCCCAAAAAAUACUAAUGACAUCAUACUAUAUUAUAAAUAAAUCACUUUUUCUUUCACCGCAUUCAUUGGAAACUCGCUACUAUUCAUAUUUCCAUAUAAUAUACUUGAUUUAUUAACAUAAAUAUCUUUUUAGUUGUAAACAUUAUUAUAAAUGAAAGACUUUCUGACUUAUCAAUAUAAUAUACUUACUUUGUUAACUUCAAUAUAUUGUUAAAUAAAUAACCUACAUUAAUAUUAUCAAAUUAUCUUAAAAUUUUAAUUUAAAAUUAAAAACCUAAAGUAAAAUAUCAAAUAAUGUUUUUUUUAUAUUGAAUAUAUAUAUAUAUAUAUAUAUAUAUAUAUAUAAAGGUAUUUACAUCUAUUUNNNUUAAAUAUAAUAAAUAUAAAGGAACUUAAAUCAAUGAAUGAAAUUAACUAAAAGGUGUCUGAAAACUAUAUUUUAUAAUAACUAAAAUUCAAUUAAAUAGUUUUUAAAUUAAUUUAUAAUAACAAUAGUUGAAAAUGAUAGAAACUUAGAAAUUAAAUUAUGUUACAUUACAAACAGUUGAUAAUUAAAAUAAUCAACAUGAUAAAAUUAAAACACCAUCAAUUUUUUUUAAUUAAUAAAUCAUAACAAUAGUAAGUUGAAAUAUUUGACAAAUAUAACUAAUGUUAUACACACAUAAAACAAGAGUACAGAACAUUAAAUUAUUUGAUUUUAAUAAGUGUUAUUUUAUCUAUUGUUCAAAUUAAUUAUAAUUUUAUAUAAAGUAAAUGUAAUAAUUAUUAUUUUAUAGUUAAUAUAAAUGACAUAAAAUUUUCAAUAACAUUAGAUUACCAAAAGUUUUAACUUUUCAAUUUCUUUCUAUCAAUAAUUUAUAAGUUUGUUAAUAAGGUUAAAUGAAUAUCAAACAAAUCGUAUAUAAACAAAAUUUCAAUAUUGAAAGAAUAUAUUUAAACCUACUUAUAGAUUUAUGUUUUUAAUUUUUAACAUAUUUUACUUAAUUUAUUCGUAUUAAUAUGUUGUUUUCAUGCAAACCAUUAUCAUUUUAAAGCUACAACUUUUGAACAAUUUGUAUAGAAUACUUACAGGGUCAACUUAAAUGUAAAUUUUAGUUCAACUUAAAUAACCAAGGAAUAUAUAUUGUAAAUAGUGAUAAAUUGUAGUAUCUUUCUAAUAAUGAUUAUAAGUUAGUUAAUAAGGUUAAAUAAAUAUCAAACCUAAAGUGUAAUCAUAAAAAACUAAAUUUUAAUAUUAAAGUAAUAUCUCUACUUCUACUUAUAAGGUUAUGUCUUUAACUUUUAACAUAUUAUACUUAAUUGAUUAGAUUUAAUAUAUAGUUGUAUGCAACCAUUAUCACUUUUGAAGCUACAACUUUUGAAUAGUUUUGACAAAAAACUUAAAUUGUUAAUUUAAAUAUAACAUUACAGUGUCAACUUAAAUAUAAAUUUCAAUUUCCACUUAAAAACCGAAAGAAUAUUUUGUGAAUAGUUAAAAGUGAUAAAUUGUGGUGCUAAGUGCAAAAACUAAAUUGCACUCUCAAUUUAACUAAAAUAUUUCCUGAUGAUAUUUUUAUAAUCGUUAAAAAUAACUGUUUAUAAAUGAUUAUAUUGUUACCUCUAAAAAAACAAUGUUUGAUGUUUUAAAUAAUUACAAUGAGAGAAGAUAAAACAUUUAGCAAAUAAAUUUUAAAAAAUUAAUUAUCAACAACAACUAUAAAUAACAUUAAACUAUAUCUUAUAUUUAAUUGAAUUCAUGAAUAACCCGCAGGUGGAGGUCACUCAAACAAUUGACAUUAUGUAGUUUUAACAGGUGUAUAUAUUACAUAUAAUUCAAAAUAACCAAUAUAUCAUAUCAACUUAUCAUACGAAUUAUUAUAUCAAAUUUAACAACAACGUUAUUGUUACAUUUAAAAAAAACAUAUAUUUGUAAAGAUUUCAACUAUAUAGGUGUUUCUGCGCAACGUGCGAGCAUUCGCCUAGUGUUGUGUAUAGGAGAAUGAUCAUCAUAUAAUCAUAUCAUAUCAUAUUCAUAUUAUAUUAUAAAGGAAUCAUUUUUUCUUUUCACCACAUUCAUUUGAAACUCCCAUACAAUUUUCCUUUCACCACAUUCAUUUGAAACUCCCAUGACUUUUCAAUUUCUUUCUAAUAAUAAUUAUAAGUUAGUUAAUAAGGUUAAAUAAAUAUCAAAGCUAAAGGUUAAUCGUAUAUAAAGUUUAUUUCAAUAUUAAAAUAAUAUAUUUACUUCUACUUAUAAAGUUAUGUUUUUUUUUUUUUUUUUACUUUUAACAUAUUAUACUUAAUUUAUUAGUUUUAGUAUAAUAUUGGAUGUAAACCAUUAUCAUUUUAAAGAUACAAUUUUAGAACAAUUUGUAUAAAAUACUUAAAUUAUUAAUUUAAAUAUAACAUUACAGGGUCAACUUAAAUAAAAAUUUUAGUUUAACUUAAACAACCCAAAAAAUAUUUUGUAAAUAGUUAUAAAUGAUAAAUUAAAGUGUCUUUUCUAAUAAUGAUUAUAAGUUGGUUAACAAAGCUAAAUAAAUAUCAAACCUAAAGUGUAAUCAUAAAUAAACUAAAUUUCAAUUUUAAAAUAAUAUCUUUACUUCUACUUAUAAAGUUAUUUCGUUAACUUUUAAUAUAUUAUAAUUUGUUUAUUAUAUUGAAAAUGUUGUUGUAUCUAAACCAUUAUCAGUUUAAAGCUAGAAAUUUUGAACAGUUUACACAAAAUACUUAAAUUGUAAAUAGUUAAAAGUGAUAAAUUGUAGUGAUAAAUGCAAAAACUAAAUUGUAAUCUCAAUUUAACUAAAAUAUUUCCUAAAUAUAUUUUUAUUAUCGUUAAAAGUUUCAAAGAAGUAGCUUAAAAUAACUUACAAUAACAAUAGUUAAAAACAACUUUAUAGAAAUGAUUAUAUUAUUACCUUUAAAAUAAACAAACAAUGUUGAUGUUUUAAAAAAUUAUAAUGACAGAAAUUAGAACAUUAAGAAAAUAAAUUUUAAAAAAUUAAUUAACAUUAACAACAACUAUAAAUAACAUUAAACCAUAUAUUAUAUUUAAUUUUAUUCAUCUGUAACUCGUGGGUAGAAGUCAUUUAAACGAUUGACUAAAUUACAAUAUUAAAAUUUCAUAUUAUAUUUCUGUUUAUAAAAUUAUGACUUUAAAUUUUUAACAUAAUAUAUUUAACUUAUUAGGUUAAAUAUGUUGUCGUAUGUGAGCAACUAUCGUUUUAAAGUCACAACAUUUGUAAAAUUUACAAGUUGAUGCAAAAUACUUAAAUUAUUAAUUUCAAUAUAAUAUUAAACAAUUAAUUUAAAUCAAAAUUUCAGUUAAUCUUGAAAAAACUCGGGAGACUGUUUUAUAAAUAGUUAAAGAUUAUAAAUUAUAGUUUUAAACCUAAAUUGUAAUCCUAAAUUAAAAAAAACCAUGAAACUGUUUUUCAUAAUCAUUAACAAUUUUCAAAUAAAUAGCUUAAAAAUAACAUACAAUAAAAAUAGUUAAAAGUAAUAUUAUAUAAAAAAACUGUAAUAUUUUCUUUGAAAACAAAAACAAUGUUUUUUUGUUUUAAAUAACUACAAUCAUCGAAACUAACAAUAUUCAUCAAAUAAAUUUUAAAAAUAUUAAAUUUAUGAAACAAAAUUAAAAUAAUUAACAGUUUUGAAAUACGUUAUUUUAAAUAACUUACAACAACAAUAGUUAAAAUUAAAUUAUAUACAAAAAUUAUAUUGUAGGCUUUAAAAACAAAAACAUUGUUCGAUAUUUUAAAUGAUUAUAAUGAUAGAAAUUAAAAUCUUGAGCAAAUAAACUUUUUUUAAUUAAUUAAUCAUAACAACUAUAAAUAUCAUUAAAUCAUAUAUUAUAUUUAAUUUUCAUUCAUAAGUAACCUGCACGUAGACGUCAUUAAGACACUUAGGAAUAUAUAAUUUUAAAAGAUAUCUAUAUUAUCAUAUAAUUCAAAACAAACAAUGUUUAUAUCAACUUAUUUUAAGAUUUACUAUAUAAAAACUAAUAACAAUGUCAUUAAUAUAUUUAAAAAACAUAUAUUUGUAAAAAUUUGAAAUAUAUUAUUGUAUUAUGCGCAACACGUGAAUAUUUGUCUAGUUUUAUUAUAAGACAAAAUAGGGGAUAGACUUGUAUGAGCAGAUGUACAAGAGAAUAUUGAGCUUGAAAAUGACAAACAUCUAACCAUAAAUACUCAUCUAAAACGUUUAGAAUCACAUAUAUAUGAAUCAUACAUGCCCCACAUAGUUAUUAUACAUAGUUAUUAUGAACCUUCAAUAUUAUGUAAAUAUUAUUUAUCAAAGUCGGUUAUACAUACAUAUAUUAAUGUCCACUUGCCUUUUCAGUUUCCCCAUUAAACUUCAUUUGCUUUUACAUUAUUUACUCAUAAACUAAUUUUUGAUCUAAAAGUUUUCACCCCUAAUAACUUUUAAGUUAAAUUAUAAGUAUGCUAUAAGUUUUGAUUUUGGUCGCUUACAGUAUUUAAAACUUACGUUUUUCGUCUCUUACAUAAUUUGUUUUUACUGUUUUCAUUUUUAGUAAUAUGACUUUUUGUUAUUACGAUUUUUAAUUAAUUUUCAUUUUUGUAUUGUACGAAUGAAAAUCUAUUUUCAAACCAUAUUUUUGUCUGCAUCAUCCAUACAUAAUUGUUUCGAUCGAAACUAUAUUUUAUACUUUUAUUGUUCACUCUGUAAAUGUGUUAUUUGCCACAAUACGUGGGGCCACAGAAUACGAGUUCUGCGUCGGACAUUCUAGUUAUAGCCUUUCAUAAAAGUAUUUUAUUUAUAGAUAGAAAUACAUCGAAGGAUAAAUAUUUUUGAUUUUGCAAAUUGAAUAUUAUUUUAAUGUCUUUAACCUAAUUUAUUCAAAAAAUACUUAUCAUUGUGAACCUUGCUAGAUAAAACACAUGUCCAAAUAAUACUAAUGACAUAUUGUGUUUGACAAGAGGGAAUAUCUAAAAAUCUAAUUGUUAGCAAAUAAAUUAUGUAAUAGAAAAUUAAGGGUUUCUAAUAUCUAUCUGAUAAGCUAUAAAUAUGAAAUAUAAACCAACAUUGAAUAAUAUAUUGGAGAAUGGUUAUAUUAUAAAACAAACUAGGGGAUAUGCCCAGAGACGGGGCCAGAAUUAUAGAAUAACGGGGCUUAUAUUUAAGAAUAUGAAAAUACAAUCUUUACCAUUUUUUUUUCAUUUAUUUAACCAUGCUACGAUAAUUGUAUAUGACCUAACUUGAUGUUUAGCUGGAUAACUUAAAACUGAAUGUUGAUUUCUAAGAUAACGAUCAAAGUAUCUAACUUUAAAGCAUUUAAAUAUAAAAUAUCAUUUUUUUUCGGAUUCAAUAUUAGUAAUUCGAUAUUACUAUUAUUUUUAGGUUCUAAGGGUGUAUUAUGAUCAUCUUCCUUAAUUAAUAUUAUUAGUAACAAAAUUCAUUUAUCGAUAAUGAAUACGUGCUUUUGGUUUUUAAAAAGUAAUCUUUGUUUUUUUUGGACUAGGAAUAUAAAACACCAAAUUAACAAUUAUAAUGAUAUUUUAAUUACAAAUUACAAAAAAAAAUUGAAUACAUAUAAUAAAUUUAAAGAUUUGGUUUGUCAUUAAUCCGAAUAUAACAUAGACAUAAAAAUAUUAAGUAAAUUUAUAUGUAAAAAAAAUAUUAAAAUAUCAUGUCCAAGUCAAUUGAAUUCAUUAGUAGAGGCGGUGGGUUUUCAUUUCAUAGUGUAUAUUUAUGUGUGGCUNNNNNNNNNNNNNNNNNNNNNNNNNNNNNNNNNNNNNNNNNNNNNNNNNNNNNNNNNNNNNNNNNNNNNNNNNNNNNGUCUGCCCCGGUAUUGGCUCCGCCAUUGGAUAUGCCCAUGCAAACUCGUGAGUGAGGAUAUUAAGCUUGAAAAUAACAUUGAUGUGUUUCUUUGAUAUAAAAAAACAUAUAUUUUUAUAGUUGAAGAGAAAGGUUAAUUACAUAGUAAACAUUACAUUAUCUUGAAAAAAUAAAUAAACAUAUCGAGAUGUUAAUUUUCUUCUUGAAAAUUUCUUAAAUGUUUUAUGCUUCAUUACGAUAGUCAAUAAAGAAACUCAUACAUCACGUAUUAAGUAAAUACUUCAUAUAAAUCAUAAUUAAUUGUUCUAUUGAUUGCAUUUAAUUAACGUGGUGUGUAGACUAAAACUUGUUAUCCAAACUUAAAAUUAUGGAUGUUGAUAUCAUGUAUCAUUUCUUAUAAAAAGUUAAUAUUAGUGUACACUAUCACUUACCCUAAAAUUUCACUUCCAUCAAUCCAAUUAACAAUAGCGUAUCCAUAAAUGGCUAACUUCAACUAUUUGUAAUAGGGUUGAAUUUGACAUAGAAAAUUAGCAUGCUUUGAACAUGGAUCAUGAAAAUAUAACAAACAUACAAACAUCAUAGAUGCAAUUCCACAACAGAAAAUUGCACCGUCAAAAUGAUUUGGACUAGCUUUUUAUGGUGCUUCAAUGUGGAGUUGGUUUUAAUNNNNNNNNNNNNNNNNNNNNNNNNNNNNNNNNNNNNNNUAUAUAUUCGAUAGUAAUAUAAUAUGUUCGGUGGGAAUAAUAUUUUUGAAUGCACUUAUAUAAAUUUUAUAUUUUCCAAUGUUGAAACACAAUAACAUUAAAAUCACAUCGCAAAGAACUCCAGAAGGUCUAUCUAAACUUUUCAAUCAUUCAUGUACUCUUCUAGCACAUUAAUUUUUACCUUGAUCCUCUCACCAAGAGAAUAUAGCAACUCCAUUGAAGAUUGAAUAAGCUUCGUAUAAAGGGUCAUUGACUUGUACAUUAAUAUUUUUACCAUGAAUGUACUUGAAGAGACUGGAUACAAACGAGUUUCUACAAACUAUGCAUCUGCUCAUUACUAAAUUUUAUUGUUUCUUAUAAGGUUGUUAGUGUACUUUUUCUUCGUUAUCAUAUGUGAUAUCUUGACAUAUGAAAAUCAUAAUUUCUUGUUUCGAGCAGAAGGUAGACAUUAUGUACAACACAAAGUCUGACUUGAUAUGAAGAAAAUGAUCAUGUUUAUAUAGUAACUAUCGUAUUAAGGAACCAAGUCACUUUCAUGCAAGUUAAAUUACAUGGUUAUAAUUAAAGAAGGAAAUUACAAAUUCUCUAUUCAAAAUGGUUGACUUCUUACAUGGGCGUUGUGAAUUAGUUUCGCUAAUUGGAAUAAAUGAAAAUGAAAGGAAAACCCUUGUUGAUGUGAAUUAUAAUAUCCUUAUUCCCGGUAUUUGAUUUAAAUCUAGUUUUAAUUUGGAUAAUUCACUGAAAAACUAAAAUAUGGAAUUAAUUGCAAGAAGUAUGACAUGCUUCUUAUGGGUGCAGCGUGCUCCAACCCAAGGGCUGAACAACUUUUUAGGGUUUAGGGCUAUUUUAGACCCUUAACUCUCUAGGUUUGAAUCAUUUAUGCUCUCCUUCAACCCUACAGAGAUCCUCCAUAAAACCUAACCCUUUUUCUCACCUUUUAAGCAUUAUAUCACCUUGGAUACUCAUUUUGCCUUAGUUUAUGCUUAAAUCUUGAAGAACAAGAUCUUGCUUGGUGCAUUGAAGUGGAGAACAAGUGUAGAUCCGAAACUUUUUUCUCCUCUCUCGGACCUUUGUGAGUCUAAAGCUUCAAACAUUCCUUGUUGUUGCUAGAUCUUUAAUUAUGUCAAUUUAUGUAUCUUUUUGUCCCCGUUUGUCGGUGAUCUUGUGGUUAAAUGAACUCUAUCACCAUGUAAGCACUUCAUGUUGAUUUUGGAGCCUUAUGGACUUAUAAAGUUUUGACCUUUAGCCUUACCUUAAUGCCAUGCAAAUCUUGGCGGUGUGUUAGGUCUUUUGGAAUGCAAAAGGCUAGAUCUUGGUUGUUCUGGUGUGUCUUAAUGGAAAAAAUUGGAAACUUUAUCUAUUUAGACCUUGUUAGAGUCCAUAUAUGGAGGGUGGGGUGGUAACUUAAAGGAUUAGCUCAUAAACCCUUAUGAAGAAGGCUUUAGUAAGAUGCUUGUAUCCUUGUGAGUGUGAUAUCCUCUAAUUUUCAGAACCAAAAGACCUUUCUUUACACUUUAAAAAUCAUGAUACUUCAUUUGCAGAAAAUCCCAGUAUAUAAAAUAUGUUUGAGAACAAUGAAUGGCUCAAAUAAAAUCCUAAGGAUGUCAUAACUAAAACAAAUACAUAAGUUUCGGUGUAAAGACCUAAUGAUCCUAAACACUAUUAUAGGUUGUCUAUACUCUACGUUCCUAAUUUCACACAUUCUUUGAAUAAAACUACCCAAUAUCAAACUUGAUUGAAUUAUGAAUCUAUAAUAAGUCUUAUUUCAUUAACGGGCGAAGACUACAAGGCUUCCAAUACCAACACUAUCAUAUUUCACUAUAUAUUUACUACAGAGUAUUUAAGUAUUAAUAUAAUUUUUUCCUCACUAAUAAUACUUCCAUUAUUAUUAUCAUGUAACUGUAUCAUAUAUGCAUCUUAACACAUGUAGAACCAUAUCUGGUUCGCAUAUUGUACAUUAUCAAUAUACAUCUAACACAUAUCCCAGGAAAUAAGUGUAUAUUUCACAUAUGGCUUUCAAUGGAUAUUUACUACUUUAAUUAAUACUUGUAUUAUAAUCAUUUACAUGAAAGGGACUACACACUCACUUCACUUAUGUGGAUGACUGGUGAUUUGGGUAGUGCUUUGCGUAACACCUUAACUUUUCUUUUUAUGUGACAUAAGUACGAUUAAUAAUGAGUCUUAGUAUAACUGUCCUGGUGACUAAUAAUAGUCUAAAUUUUUCACUAAUCCAAAUGUCUAUAUCAAGAUCUAUCAAGUAAGGAAUAACCAGGUAAGAUCAGAUUGGAGGUAGGGUCCGUUUGGUAUAAAUAGUAUACUGUUUGGAAAUCUCACUUUAAACACCUCAUUAAAUCUAGACUAGACAUCAUUCUCGUAAGUAGAUCAAUUAGUAAAAUGACUUGGAAUCACUAAUAAAUAUUAUUUAUAGGUUCAUAAUAAUGACUAUGAACAUAAAUAUAAGUUACAUUUGAAAUAAAAUAAGUUUAUCUUAACUUACAUAAAUUUUAGCUAAAACCAGGAAAUUGCAUGGGCAGAACUCCGAAACCGAAAACUCUAUCUGUCCGACGCUUUGGGGCUUCGCUAAAGUAGCCACAAACUAGAAAGUGAAGGGAUAGGGUUAUGAGAGAGUUCUAUAGGAAUUGGGUGGAAAAUAGUGAGGAAAAUGAGUAGAAAAUAUAACUAUUUAUAGCAAGAAUUUGCAGGGGCGCACCGGGCCUCUGGUCGGAAGAGUUGACAUGGCUUCUGUUGAGUGAUGCCACAUCUAAGCUUUAGGGUGGGGCUGCGUUGACUUGUCAGAGCACGCCGUGUCUCUUUUCAGCAUGCACGAAACUUUAUUAUUUUGCAAAUAUUAGUAUCCUCUUAAAACAAGCUCAUCCACGCGUAACUAUUGACAAACACUGCAACUUUCAUUUAGACUCUGUCGGCUAGUUCUCACUUUAUUUUUAACUUAUUAUUUUUGAAGGCUUAGACUGGUAAAAUCCAUUUAAAAAUCAUAUCCCAUUCAUACAACAUCCAUUCUCUACUUUGUUUAUCUCACCUGAUAAGUAUUGACGAGAUCUUUAACUCUCGUUUAGAUUGUUUUUCCUAACAAUCAAUCGAUCAUAAUUUUGGUUUUUGUGCUACACACUGCUAUGCUAAAACUUUAAAAAAUCAUAACUUCUUCAUAACAAGUCACAUUUGGAUGUUCUCUAUAUGCACGCGUUCUCUUUUACGGUUACUACGACGUUCAUUUAGGUUACUUAUGAUAAGGAUCAACUUCACUAGCUAUCUUUGAUUCAUUAUUUACAAAGCGCAUAGUUGUGUUGCUUUAAUUGCGAAACUUCGAAGAAACAUAACUUCUUCAUAUGAAAUCAGAUUUAUGCGCUCCUUCUACCUUCGAGAUAAUCAUUAUUACUACUACAUCUUCAGCUAAGAUUGUCUAUUAUAUUUUAAAUGUCUAACGCGAAUCUUUAGGUGUUACAGUGAGUUAGGAUGGCGUUAUCUUGUAGCGAGCUGUUAGACAGGUAAACUAGCUUAGAUACUUACAUGUGUUACUAUAUUGUUGUUAGUUGUUUAUUAUUAUAAACAUGUCAACAUGUCUUGUGGUCAGUUAAGGACAAUCUAACUUUUUGUUGAAGGUCAAGAAACUUAAGGCAUACCAGCUUUAUGGUGAGGGCCAGGGGCGGAUCGACUUUAUGUUAAAGGCUGAAGGGAUGAGCAUCAUUAUGUUGAAGGCUAAUGUCAUUCCCCAAACCGGAACGACGGAAACAUUCGGGAGCGGAGGACGUCAUGCUCAGUAUCACAACACAUGCAUCAUAGUAAUCAAAGUAACAAACAACGAUUGCAUUAAUAUUAAAGUGUUUACAUGCAUUUGAUUCACAAAAGAUUUACUCCAAAACUAAUUAACAAAACAAAGACAUGAAGCUACUAUGCUCCAUCUUCUGAAUCACUGAGCGUGUACCUGUCUACUAGUUUCCUGAGAAUGCAAGUUAUUUUGAAAUAGUAGAUCAACAUUUAAGCUUGUGAGUCCAUAAGCAUUUUUGUUAUAAAAAGUAUACUUUAAGUUCUUUUAGAAAAGUUCGCAUGUUCCUCCAGAAAAUACUAUAUUUUCUGAUGUGAUGAAAAUAAGUAAAAACGACUCUUACAAUUUCCUCUAUGAGUACUUAAUGGAUACAAGUUAUAUACAAUCUAGAGUAAACAGACAAUCGAUUGUGUGAAUAUGCCCUAAGCCCAUAACCAAAAAAGGAACAAGAAAUGAGACGGAAGUCACACAUCCCAUUGUUUGUUAGAUCUUUAUUGUAUAUAACCCUAGCGUAUUCAAUAGGUGCUUACAGAGUUAACUCUAAUAGUUCUUUUAUAUUUGAAGAAAAUAUUCCUUAAGAAUAAUCAUAUAUUUCCUUUAGUAAAAAUGGUAACCACAAUAGUUCUUUCAAUAAUCACUGAGUUUAUACAAGCUAAAUGUAAUUUAAGAUCGAACGGACAGUUAAAUGUGUGAAUCCACCCUAAGCCCACAACAAAACAAGGAACAGGAAGUAAGGCGGAAGUCACACAUUUCACUGCCUAUUGGAUAUUAAUUAUUGUUGGAUAAGGUGUCUAAGUUUAUAACUAUUUCUGGUAUGUACUUGACCCGUUUUGGCAUGGUCCAUUUGGGUUGCAUGGCAUCAUGCAUUUGGAUAGACUAAAAUAAGAGAUAUAACACUUAAGGUUUAUUAAUAUAUUAUAAGUUCUAAUGUAUUAAUAAUAUUAUUUAGUAUUGAUCAAGAAUUAAUUUGGAAUUAAUUAGGUAAUCAGAAGGAGACUAAGUAAAUAUAUGGGUUGAUUGUGUAAAUCAUCCAUACUUAUAUAAUAAGCUAAUGCUUCAUGGAUUAUCAAGUUGGGCUAAAACCCAUAGGAUGCUCCAUGGAUGCUCCAUGGUGUUUAUAGAACCCAUGGGUCAUGGAAAUGAAAAGUCAUGACAAUUUGGGUUUACAUGGUGUAACCCUAAUUGUAACACACUAUAUAAGCUUAAUGUUCUUCACCAAAAUCAACCACUAAGAGAACAAGAGGGCAUAGCCAAUUUUAGAAGUGUUAUAUUUCUCUAAAGGUUAUUCCAAGUGUAUUUGGUGUUGUGUGAGACAUUUGAGGCAUCACACUUGAGGUGCUAGGUUCACAAGGUUCUCAAGGAAUUCAAGCAACUAAAGGUAUGUAUUUCUUACUAUCUUUUAUGUUUAAAAGUUCCGCAUGUACCCUAGAUAGGUUAUGAACCUUGGAAAAACAAAUUCUCAUGUAUCAUAGAUAAAACAUAGAUCCAAGGUUUCUAGGGUUGCAUGUAAUCCAUAGGAGUGUUUGAAUGCUCAAAACCCUUCAAUGGUAUCAGAGCCUAGGCUUGUUUAUUUGAUACUUGAUGCAAAUUGUUGAGAAAACUCAGUUUUUGUGCACUUUGCAGUUUGAACUCGCCGAGUCGAUGGGGGACUCGACGAGUCCAUGAGUAAACUCAUCCUACUCGUCGAGUAGGUUCUUGCACUCGAUGAGAAGGAGUCCCAGAAUGCAAUUUUUCGAGUUUUGUUGCUGGAAAUGGACUAGAAACAUUACCUUAAACUGUUUUGGUGUUAUAAAACUUGUUUUAGAUGGUGUAAUGGUUAUGCUAAUCCAUUUUCAAUAGCUAUUAUCAAAAUUUCAUGUUUUUAUAUGGUUAAUUUUAUGAUUCUUGAAAUUGUUGAUAUGCAUGUUCAUGAACUUAUGAGUUUAGAAGAUCAUAGGAAUUAUUUGUAACUUGCUUAUUAGUUUAGUACUUGAUCAUUAUGUGUUGUAAUGGAAUCCAUAAUUUGUCCUCAAGUUAUGGAUUACCAAAAUUUAUCAUUUUAAAGUCCAUUAAAGAAACACAUAGGUUACAUAAAAUGAAAAGUCUCUCAUUUUAUUAAACCAUUAACUCAUAAGUUAUGAAAGAUAAAAUGUUUUGAAAGUUACAAAACUUGCCCUCAAGUUUUGGAACAUGUAAAGUUACUCUAAAAACUUUAGUUCCAACCCCUAGAAUUUUAAAAGUUAAAAUUCAAACUUAAACUUAAUAAUAUUAUAAGCUUAAUAAUUAUUAUAUAUGUAUAAGAAAAAUUCGUUUUACCGUUAGUAGGCCUCAUUCACGAAGCCUAUCUAUAGUGGGGUAUAAGGUUACUGCCUAUAAAAUGGCAGCUUAAUGGGUGUCCAUUCUCACCCACCGCUUCCUUGAUCGGUGGAGGGUCGUUAGCCGAACGGGUAAGACAAAGACUUUAAAUAUUUAUUAAAAGUAUUAUGAGUAUAAAGUAACCAAAUGUUUUUAUAAAUUCCCAAUCUUAGUUACUUUAGGAAAAUGUGAAUAAGGUGCUAACCCAUGAAAUUACACUUUGCACUUUGAUUAAGUCGUUAGUGGAGCGUGUGUGGUUAACCGACACACUAACCUGGAAUUAACAGGGUAGGCAAAGGGUAACUUAAUAUUUAUCAUAGUAUCAGUGGAGAGCGUGUGGUUAACCGGCACAUCGAUUGAGGGGUAAAUAUUAAGGGUACCAAGUAAUUUGCAUGGUUACUUCACACCUUGUUUUGUGAUCCUCGGCAUCCAAGUCACAAAACCUAAAGGGCGCACUCGAGAUUGGAACAUGCCAUUGACAAGUUCAAUGAAUCUCAAAGAAUCUAGGAGUUUCAAAACCAAUUAAAACCUAAUAAUUUAUUUCGUUUUUCAUGGUGGAGAUUAGUGAAUCGUCAUUCACCUACCUUCAAAUAUUUUAUAGCUUCGAUUUCGGCAUCCCUCUUCUAAGUUAUAAAAUAUUGUGUUGGGUCCUAGACUUAAUAUUACAUUUGGGUGUUUUAUUAAGGACUAUCUUUAUAUCUAAUCAAAACUUGUCUUUCUUCUUUUCAGAUGUCUUCCAACAAUGCUGCUUUUGGCUCAAAUCCUACCGACUCCUUCUCUCUCAUGAACCUUUGUGGGAGAGUCAUCUUUGAUGGAUCCAACUUUAUGGAUUCGAUCAGAAACAUCAGGACGGUCACUCGAUAUGAGGACAAAGAAUAUGUGCUCGACAAGGAGCUUAAUUCACUUGAUUCGUAUGCUACUCCUAAGGAGAUCGUUGUAUACCAGGCCCAUGAAAGGGAUGCUAUCAAAGUGGCAAGCAUCAUGUUGGCUAGUAUGCCAGUCGAGCUCCAAAAGUCUUAUGAAGACUACUAUCCUUUUUAGAUGCACCAGGAUUAGAUGGACCGCUACCAUCCGAGUGCUCGUCAAGAGAGAUAUGAAAUCAUCUCCUCCAUGAUAACAACCCGGAUGAAGGAUGGUGAACCCAUCACGGGCCACACGCAGAAAAUGCAAUGGUAUGUGGACCAUUUGCUGAAACUGAAUGUGAACUUCCCCGAGGAGUUAGCAAUAGAUAUCAUUUUGCACUCCUUAUCAUCGGGUUAUGAUCAAUUCCAUAUGACAUACCACAUGAACAAGGAGGAAGUUACACUCAGCAAACUUCAAGUACUUUUGAAGACCGCGAAAAGUGGUCUUAAAGGUAAGGCGGUUGUUACCACUCCUACUCUUACCACAACCCAUGUCUUGGCAAUGGGGCAAGGCAAAGGAAAGAAGAGGAAGAACCCUUCAAAGGGCACCGAGGGGAAGACCCUUGAUGGCUUCCCUUCAAGUGGAACUAAGAAAGGUUUCGUCAGUCCUUUUGCUAACCCUAAAGAGGCGGAAUAAUUCUAUUGCCAUGAAAAGUCGCACUGGAAGCGCAACUGCCCAAAGUACCAGCAAGAUGUGAAGGACGGGAAAGUUAAACCCAACCAUGCAGGUACAGACACUAUUUUGUCUAAUAAUUCACCCCAUUCUAAUUCUUGGGUCCUUGAUACAGGUUAUGUUAUUCACAUAAGUACUGAUUUGCAAGGACGAAGACGAAGUGAGAAUGUGGAGCAUGGGAAGAUAAACUUGAUCAUGGGGAAUAGGAAAGCUUCACUUGUCACCAAGAUUGGAGUUUAUUCUUUAUUGAUAAGUAGUGGAUUUGUAUUAGAUUUAAAUAAAUGUUGUUACUCGUCUGAAAUGGCGAGAAAUAUUAUUUCCUUUCAUGGUUUGUACAAACAAGGUUUUACCUUUUCUUUUGAUAAUGAUAGUGGUGGUAUUAAUGCUUUCUUUAAUAAUGUUUUUUUUUUAUUUUAAAGGAUUACCUUGUGAUGGUGUAUAUGAAACUGUGUCAGUUGUUGAUAACCUAGGAAAUAAUGUAUUGUGUAUCAAUUCUUCCACUAGCUUGGAUAAAGCAUCUCUAUGGCCUUGUCGUCUUAGACAUGUAAACAAGAAACGCAUAGGCCAACUCCAAAAGGAUGGAGUCUUGGAGUCAUUUGAACUAAAGUUAGAUGAUAGUUGUGAAUCUUGUUUGCUUGGGAAAAUGACAAACUUACCCUUCACUGUUACUUGUGCUAGGGGUGAGGGUUUGUUGGACCUCAUACACACUGAUGUGUGUGGACCCUUUAGAACCGCCACAAGUGAUGCUAACCGCUUCUACGUGACUUUUAAUGAUGAUUUUAGUAGAUAUGUAUAUGUCUACUUAAUCAAGCAUAAGUCAGAGACAUUUGAAAGAUUCAAAGAAUUCAAGCUGGAAUUAGAGAAUCAGUUGGGCAGGAACAUUAAGAUGCUUCGAUUCGAUCGAGGUGGUGAGUAUCUUACUACAGAGUUCCUUGACUAUCUUAAGGAAUGUGGGAUUAUCUCACAAUUGACACCUCGCAGGACACCAUAGCUUAAUGGUGUGGCUGAGAGGCGCAAUUGAACCUUGUUGGAUAUGGUUCGUUCCAUGAUGUGUCGAGCUUUUCUACCAAUCUCAUUUUGGGGGUAUGGCUUAUAAACUGCCGCCUAUAUCCUUAAUCUAGUUCCUACAAAGAAGGAUGCAAAAACACCUCAUGAUAUGUGGACCGAAAAAUUUCCCAAUCUGGACCACAUCAAGAUUUGGGGUUGCGACGCUUUUAUUAGGUGCAAGUCUCACGAUAAGCUCGAACCACGAAGUGAGAGGUGCGUUUUCGUCGGCUACCCACAAAGAUCCUUGGGUUACCUCUUCUACAGACCCAGUGAUAAUAUGAUCUUUGUAGCAAGGAGAGGAGUCUUUCGAGAGUGAUAAUUCAUGAGACAAGGAAACAGUGGAAGGCAAAUUAACCUUGAAGAAAUUCAAGAGUUAAGUGGUGAAGGAACCUCAAAUCCUAGCAAUCAACUUGAGGAGGAAAAUCCUGUUGAUCCAACAGAAGAGUUUGUACCUUUUAGGUGUUCCACAAGAGUUAGGAAUUCACCUGAGCAUUACUAUGGUUUCCAUAUUACUAUGGAAGGUGAUACACUUAUCAGUUAUAGCACACUGAUAAGUUUGGAUGAACCUAACAGCUACACGGAAGCCAUGGCAGGCCCUGAGGCUGCUAAAUGGAAAGAGGCUAUCGACAACGAGAUACAAUCCAUGUAUGACAAUCAAGUUUGGAACUUGGUUGACAAUGUACCAGGUCGCAAGAGAGCCAGGUGCAAAUGGAUUUUCAAGAAGAAGACCGACAUGGAUGGUAAUAUACACACUUAUAAGGUGCGACUGGUUGCAAAGGGCUUUUCUCAAACUCCGGGAGUUGAUUAUGAUGAGACCUUUUCAAUAGUAGCGAAGAUUAUGUCUAUUAGGGUUAUGUUAGCCAUUGCUGCAUUUCAUGAUUAUGAAAUAUGGCAAAUGGAUGUCAAAACCGCUUUCCUUAAUGGAAAGUUUCUGAGGAUGUUUACAUGAGUCAUCCAGAGGGUUUUUUCAGUACAGAGUACCGUAAUAGAGUGUGUAAGUUGGAGAAAUCCAUAUAUGGAUUAAAGCAAGCACCUCGCAGAUGAAAUCUUUGCUUCGAUGAGAAAUUCAAAGAAUUUGGCUUUUUGAGGAGUGAAGAUGAAUCUUGUGUAUAUGUCAAGGCUAGUGGGAGUAUAGUCAGCUUUUUGGUACUGUAUGUGGAUGACAUACUACUCAUAAGAAAUGACAUCCCAACUCUGCAGGAAGUUAAGUCCUGGCUUGGGAAGUGUUUCACUAUGAAGGACCUUGGAGAAGCUACCUAUAUCCUAGGGAUAAGGAUUCUGAGAGAUAGGAGUAAAAGACUAAUUGGACUUAGUCAGAGUACCUACUUUGAGAAGGUGCUGAAUAGAUUCAGCAUGCAUAAUUCCAAGAAAGGAGAGUUAUCGAUCCAGAGUAACACCAGAUUGAGUAAGACUCGGAGCCCGAGUACAGAGGCUAAGAUAGCUGAGAUGUGUCGAGUACCGUAUUCUUCCGUUGUAGGCUCGAUCAUGUAUGCUAUGACUUGUACUCGUCCUGAUGUGGCCUUUGCAUUAAGCAUGGGUAGUAGAUAUCAGGGGAACCCUAGCAAGUCUCACUGGACUACGGUAAGAACAUUCUCAAGUACCUGCGGAGGACUAAGGACUGGGUCCUCGCCCUCGGUAGGAGUGAAGACUUGAGAGUAUUAGGGUAUAGUGACGCUAGCUUUCAGACUGAUAUGGAUAAUUUCCACUCUCAGCCAGGGUGGGUCUUUACCUUAAACGGAGGAUCAAUUUAUUGGAGAAGUUCCAAGCAGGAGACAGUGGCUGAUUCAACUUGCGAAUUAGAGUAUAUAGCGGCAAGCGAGGCAGGAAUGGAGGCUAUGUGGCUAAAGAACUUCAUUGGAGACCUUUGAGUUGUACCAGCUAUAAAGGAGCCUAUAGAGAUUUUCUGGGACAGUGAAACUGCAGUUGCCUUAUCAGAGGAACCAAGGGAUCAAGGGAUAUCCAAAAACAUCGAUAGAAAAUACCAUUUCAUCAGACAUCGAAUAGAAGAAGGACUCAUCGUGGAAACGAGGGUAUCAUCGGAUGAGAAUCCGACAGAUACCCUCACGAAGGGACUGGGUAGGGUUAAGCAUCUCCAGCAUGCGAGACACAUAGGGAUGAAGGAUGAUAUUCAUUUUAGUAGUUAGAUAGCUUUGAAAUGUGUAAAGUGUAAUUGACAUUUGAUGAUGAAUAAAAGUUAUAAUUAUUUAUGUGUAAAGUGUUGCUAUCCUUUGUCAAUCGUUUACUAUCAUUUCAUUUUUAAUGUUUUGACUUCUAGAAUAAUUAUGUUAUGUUAUAUUAUUCAAAUUCUCCACAGGCGGUCAUAUGUUGGAAGUAGAUAUGAAUCAAGAUUGUCAUGGGUUGGCUUGUAGGGAUCGAGAUGUUGGACAUAAGUGGUGCUACAACACUCAUGAGUGCUCAAAAGUUCUGAGUAUUGGAUUCAACCCACGCUCACUGGUAUCACUUCAUGGAAUUUAUCUUGAGUGAUCGUGAGACGGUAAUAUCAUAUAAGUAUUCAAACCUAGAGAUAUGACUUGUUGCCCAUGAGUUGGUUAUAUAUUGAUUAUAUGAAAACGCAUUGGCAACUCGAUGUUAUAAAACGUGCCUUUGUGUAUGAUUCAAAAAGUAGUAGAACAAGAGUAUGAGUCGAAGGUUAUCUGUUCCUUCCUGGAUUAGAAGCGAUAUCUGGGCCCCUCGAUGAUUUUGUGUCGACCCAUGUACCGGGCCCGGUCAUAACUAAGUUGAUGCAUUCAAUUAAGUUCUAUGUCAAACAAAUCGGAAACCGAGAAACAAAUUGCUGGACAAUAAGUAAGAUAUUGUUCCAUGUAUUUUUCGAGCUGAUAUCUAGAACAGAGGUUUACAUGAUCACUUAUCUUAAAUGGCGUAUCAUCAUCAUCUCAGUUCCAAGAGACCUUGAAAGAGCUACGAUUACUAAUCGGUUCCUGAAUUCAUAUAUGCAGUUAUAGUUAUUACACUCAUCCAAGUAGGAGACUGUUGGAUAAUGUGUCUAAGUCCAUAACUCUUUCUAGUAUGUACAUGACCCGGUUUGGCAUCGUCCAUUUGGGUUGCAUGGCAUCAUGCAUUUGGAUAGACUAAAAUGAGAAAAAUAACACUUAAGGUUUAUUAAUAUAUUAUAAGUUCUAAUAUAUUAAUAAUAUUAUUUAGUAUUGAUCAAGAAUUAAAUUGGAAUUAAUUAAGUGAGCAAACGGAGAUUAAUUAAAUAUAUCGGUUACUUGUGUAAAUCAUCCAUACUUAUAUAGUGGGCUAAUAUUUCAUGGAUUAUCAAGUUGGGCGAAAACCCAUAGGAUGCUCCAUGGUGUUUAUAGAACCCAUGGGUCAUGGAAAUGAAAAGCCAUGACAAUUAGGGUUUACAUGGUGUAACCCUAAUUGUAACACACUAUAUAAGCUUCAUGUUCUUCACCAAAAUCGGUCACUAUGAGAAUAAGAGGGCAUUGCCGAUUUUAGAAGUGUCAUAUUUCUCUCAAGGUUUUUCCAAGUGUAUUUGGUGUUGUGUGAGACAUUUGAGGCAUCACACUUGAGGUGCUGGAUUCACAAGGUUCUCAAGGAAUUUAAGCAACUAAAGGUAUGUAUUUCUUACUAUAUUUUAUGUUUAAAAGUUCCCCUUGUAUGCUAGAUAGGUUAUGAAAAGCACAAGUAUACUCGAUAUACUUACUACAAUGAUGUCUAGUUUUGUUGAUAUGUUAAACUGAAUAAAGACUUGGUUGUUCUGGAUACCUGAUACGACCAUACUACCCUCCUAUGAUUACCUAAUACAUACUAGUUGCAUAUAAUUGAGAUCGAACAAAUAGUUGAAUGGGUAAACCUGUUCUAAGCCCACAACCAAAUAAGGAACAAGAAGUAAGGCGGAAAGCACACAUUCCACUGUCUAUUGGACUUCAAUUUUAUCUAAUCCAAAAGUCUACAUUGGGUAAUCACAUAGUUAGUGUCCUUUGAGAUUGUUCAUGAAAAGUAUAUUACUACGUAAAUAUAUCGUUGUUAUCUAUUGUGAGUUUGACGACCAUACUAAUUGAACCGGUUAAACACAAUGUAUUGUAGAUGUCGAGAAGAAUAUGACGCUUGUCACCCACAGACCUGCCGGUCUGGCUAUAACUAACAGCGAGGUGCGGGAUUAUCAAUCCCGUAUAGAUCUAUACACAAGCUCACUUUCUCCCUCCAUGAGACUCUGGUCGUAAGGGUAGACUUCCACUGAUACUUAUAUGAGUACUCGAAGACGUGUCUCACUAGCUAGAUUGAUGACUUUACAAGUAAUAAUGCGAAAAACCCUUUUUAUAAUUAACAGAGAAGUUUAUAAAAAGAUCCUUUUGUUCCUUAAGCUAAACUUUUUAAACUUUAUAAGCUCAUUUCUAUGUUCUAUUCAAACUUUCAUGUUCUAAAUACAAUUUAUUGGUACAAACACAUAAUAAGCAAUUUAUAUAAUGUAUAACACAACAAUUCUUGUGUUAUACUUAUAUUCUCCCCUAAAACAUUUAAAAAGUUGGAAAAAUACAUGCGGGGUAUGAACUCAUCUUAUGUGGUGAUUUAUUAGAAGGUUUGAUAUAGGAUGAUAGUUUCCACGAACGAAGUCCCGAGACACAAAUGGGUCCUAAUUAGCAUAUUAUUACACAUAUAUGUAUAUAGUUAAUGAAUAUAACUACAAAGGUACUUAGGAAACAACUAAGGAUGGAAGAAUAACUUACCAAAAGAGUGAUAGAAGCAACUUAGCAGGCCGAAAUGGUGUUCACGGCCCAAGAACACAUGAGUGUUCACGGCCCAUGUUGAAGGGUUCACGGCUUAUAUGAGUGGUUCACAGCCCAACAUCAGGGAAGAACACUUGAAGAUCUUGAUGAAAAGAUGAUGAAUCAAUGAUGGAAUCAAAGGGUUUCACAUAAAUGACAAGAUAAGGGGAGUGUUUCUUACUUUUUUGAGGAGAAAAAAGGGCCUUUGAUGGAUGAUACUUGAGAGAGAAUGAGAAAGUUCACAGCUGGAAAAUGAGAAAUGAAGAGAAAAUAGGCUAACAUUCGCAUAUAUAGCAUGAGUUCACUGACCGAGGGUUCACUACCGAGGGUUUGUUUGCGGACGAAGAGUUCAUGGCCAUGAACUGAGGGUUCACGGUCAAAGCCUUUUUCAUGACCGUGAGUCGAGGGUUCACGGUCCAAAAUUCUUCACUACUGCGAAGCUUUAUGGUCAAUGCGAAGGCUCUCGGUUCCUAAGGCUUUUCCCUUCUAACUUAUAUGAAUAAAAAUCUUCGGCUUGUGAUAUCAUCUCCCUGUUAGAUGGAAUUUCGUCCCGAAAUUAGCUUUAUUAGUAGUACUCUUAGGGUCUUACUCCUCUGAAUUUUAGAAUAUCCACUCGUAGACCUGUGCAACUUUGCCCUGACGUUCAUGAUAGGAUUCGUACCUGGUCCAUAUAUCAUCACCUCAUCUAUACAAGUCGUAAAUAAUAAAGAUUAGUAAGACGGUCGAAUGUGCAACUCUGCCCCAGGUCCACAACAAAACAAGAAACAGGAGAUAGGUCGGAAACACACAUACUAAAUCUGCAUAAUCAUAAUUAUAUACCACCCCCAUGUAUACACUUAAUAGUGAUAGUUGGGCUGUAUUUGUCAUUAGCCUUUGGCAUGGUCCAUUUGGGUUGCAUGACUUUGAAACAAUUUGGAUAGACUUUUGUGAGAAGAGGAUAUUUACGGUUUAUUAAUAUAUUAUAAGUUCUAAUAUAUUAAUAUGAAUUAUAUAAUUAGUAUUGAUCAAGAAUUAGUUUGGAAUUAUUUUUUUGAUCAAAAGAGAUUAAUUAAAUAAAUUGGGAUUAAUUUGGUAAAUCAUUCAUUCUUAUAUAGUGGGCUUAUGAUCCAUAGUUCUUCGUGAUGGGCUAAACCCAUAUGGUUACCCAUGGAUACUCCAUGGAGUUUCAAACCCAUGGAUCAUGAGGAAUAUGGAAAGACAUGAGUUACAUGGUGUAGCCCUAACGUGCACACUAUAUAAACACGCCUCAUCCUUGUAAAAUCGGCACUUAAGUGAUACAAGUGAGGGCUAGCUGAUUUUGGUGCAUAAGAAUCUUCUCUCAAGUUAUUCCAAGUUGUUGGUGGUGUUGUGUGAAGCAUUUGAGGCAUCAAAUUUGGGGUUCUAGGCUCACAAGGUCUUAAGGAAUCAAAGCUACAAGAAAGGUAUGUCAUUCUACUAGUUUUUAUAUUACAUAUACCCCAUGAUAUGCUAGUUAGGAUGAAACCAUGGAAAAAUGAAAGUUUGCAUGUAUAAUAGAAAAAACAUGGAUCCAAGGUUUCUAGGGUUGCAUGUACACCAUAUGAGUGUUAGGAUGCUCAAAACCCUUCAGUGGUAUCAGAGCCUAGGCUUGUAUUUGAUUAUACUUGAUGAUACAUGUUUUUUCCAAAGUUGAAAUUCUACCAUUUUUGCAUCUGAAUGCUCACUACGAUCUGGCAGUCUUCACCACGACACGGUGAUGCACCUGUGUGCAGAAUUUUCAGUUUUUGCUUGAAAUUGGAUGAGGUCCAUUACCCUAAACUGUUUUUUGCACCUAGAAACCUUUUUUUCUAAAGGUUAAUUUUCUUUCUUGUCCAAUUGAUAGAUAAUUGUCAUAGUCUCAAGUUUUAUAUUAAGUUCAUACGAUUCUUGAAAAUUGUUGAUAUGAAUUAUGCAUGCUUAUGAGUUUUGUUAGAUCAUAGAAAUUAUUUUACAUGCUUGUUAGUUUACCUGUUGAUCUAAAUGUUUUUAAUGGACUCCAUAACUUGUCCUCACAUUAUGGAAUUCCAAAGUUCUUUUCCAUUAAAAUCAUUAAAACUCAUAAGUUAUAGAAAUGAAAGGUUUUGAAUAGUUUCAAAACUUACCCUCAAGUUUUGGAAUUUGUAAAGUCACUUUAGAAAACUUUAAUUCCAAUCCCUAGAAUUUUAAAUGCUUAAAAAUUCAACCCUUGUACUUUAUAAUAUUAUAAGUUAAUAAUAUAUAUAUAUAUAUAUAUAUAUANUAUAAAAUGGCAGCUUCAUGGGUGUCCAGUCUCACCCGAGGAGAUAAUUGAGUACACUACCCAUGAUAAGGAUGCCACUAAGGUAUCUUGUAUCAUGUUAGCUACCAUCACAACAAAACUCCAGAAAUCGUAUGAAGAUUUCUACCCUUAUGAGAUGCACCAGGACCUGAUGGAAAGAUACCAUUAGAGUGCUCGUCAGGAAUGGUAUGAAAUCAUCACCUCCGUGGUAACAAUAAAAAUGCAGGAUGGAGGGUCUAUCAUGGGCCACCUGCAGAAAAUGCAAAGAUUCGUGGACCGUUUGCUUAAGUGAAAUGUGAACUUUGAUAAGGAGUUAGAUAUCAUUCUACACUCCUUACCCUUUUGUUAUGAUCAGUUCCGCAUGACCUAUCAUAUUAACAAGGAGGAGGUCGCACUUAGCAAACUUCAAGGACUUUUGAGAACUGCUGAAAGUAGUCUCAAAGGUAAGAAUGUUGUUACUACUCCUACCACCGCCCCUGUUCUGGAAAUCGGGCAAGGGAAAGGGAAAAAGAGGAAGAUCCCUUCGAAGGAAACCAAGGUAAAGUCUCUUGAUGGUUGCUCUUUGAGUGGAACCAAAGGUAGUCCUGCCACUCCCUCUUCCAACCUGAAGGAUCCACAAUGCUUCUACUGUCAGCAAAAAGGGCACUAGAAGGGAAGUUGCCCCAAGUACUUGCAGGAUGUUAAGGAUGGGAAAGUUAAACCCACCCAUGCAUGUAUUUACACUAUAUAGUCUAACAACUCACCACAUACUAAUUCUUAGGUCCUUGAUAAAGGGUGUGGAAUUCACAUUUGUUCUGAUUUGUAGGGCCUAAAAAGAAGUGAGGAUGUGGAGCACGACAAGAUAAACUUGAUCAUGGGGAAUAAUAAAGUUUCACCUGUCACGAAGAUUGGAGUUUAUUCUUUAUUGCUUAGUAGUG
rnacentral:lncRNA from 1 species